rnacentral:rRNA from 1 species
GGGUAUUACCUCAGUAACGGCGAGUGAAGCGGUAACAGCUCAAAUUUGAAAUCUGGCAUCAGCCCGAGUUGUAAUUUGUAGAAGAUGCUUUGGGCGUAGCUCUACUCUAAGUUCCUUGGAACAGGACGUCAUAGAGGGUGAGAAUCCCGUUUGUGAUUAGCAGCUAUGUCCGUGUAAAGCUCUUUCGACGAGUCGAGUUGUUUGGGAAUGCAGCUCAAAAUGGGUGGUAUAUUUCAUCUAAAGCUAAAUAUUGGCCAGAGACCGAUAGCGCACAAGUAGAGUGAUCGAAAGAUGAAAAGCACUUUGGAAAGAGAGUUAAACAGUACGUGAAAUUGUUGAAAGGGAAGCGCUUGCAACCAGACUUGCAGGCUGCUGAUCAUCUAGGGUUCUCCCUAGUGCACUCGGUAGCUUUCAGGCCAGCAUCGGUUUGAGUGGUGGGAUAAAGGCCUUGGGAAUGUGGCUCCUCUCGGGGAGUGUUAUAGCCCAAGGUGCAAUGCCGCCUAUUUGGACCGAGGACCGCGCUUCGGCUAGGAUGCUGGCGUAAUGGUUGUAAGCGACCCGUCUUGAAACACGGACCAAGGAGUCUAACAUCUAUGCGAGUGUUUGGGUGUCAAACCCAUACGCGUAAUUAACGUGAACGGAGGUAAGAACCCUUAAGGGUGCAUUAUCGACCGAUCCUGAUGUCUUCGGAUGGAUUUGAGUAAGAGCAUAGCUGUUGGGACCCGAAAGAUGGUGAACUAUGCCUGAAUAGGGUGAAGCCAGAGGAAACUCUGGUGGAGGCUCGCAGCGGUUCUGACGUGCAAAUCGAUCGUCAAAUUUGGGUAUAGGGGCGAAAGACUAAUCGAACCAUUAAAACUACUAGGUGGUUAAGAGGGAUUUUACGAGUGCCCUAGUCUAGGUUCUUAGGCUACAUUAUCAAAUUGUUCGGGGACGUCCUGUCAAGUUUAAGCUACCGCAGCCUGCCUGAAAAGGGGGUGCGCACCGGGUUAGCGACCUAGGGGAUGGUAAUAAUGCUU